rnacentral:rRNA from 1 species
UCCCUAUGGGGUGCAGCAGGCGCGAAAACUUUACAAUGCGGGAAACCGUGAUAAGGGGACACCGAGUGCCAGCAACAUUUGUUGGCUGUCCAGGUGUGUAAACUACACCUGUUAGCAAGGGCCGGGCAAGACCGGUGCCAGCCGCCGCGGUAACACCGGCGGCCCGAGUGGUGAUCGUGAUUAUUGGGUCUAAAGGGUCCGUAGCCGGUUUGGUCAGUCCUCCGGGAAAUCUGACGGCUUAACCGUUAGGCUUUCGGGGGAUACUGCCAGGCUUGGAACCGGGAGAGGUAAGAGGUACUACAGGGGUAGGAGUGAAAUCUUGUAAUCCCUGUGGGACCACCUGUGGCGAAGGCGUCUUACCAGAACGGGUUCGACGGUGAGGGACGAAAGCUGGGGGCACGAACCGGAUUAGAUACCCGGGUAGUCCCAGCCGUAAACGAUGCUCGCUAGGUGUCAUGCAUGGUGCGACCGUGUAUGGUGCCGUAGGGAAGCCGUGAAGCGAGCCACCUGGGAAGUACGGCCGCAAGGCUGAAACUUAAAGGAAUUGGCGGGGGAGCACAACAACGGGUGGAGCCUGCGGUUUAAUUGGAUUCAACGCCGGAA